UACGGAGGGUGCAAGCGUUGUUCGGAAUUAUUGGGCGUAAAGCGCACGUAGGCGGACUACUAAGUCAGGGGUGAAAUCCCGGGGCUCAACCCCGGAACUGCCUUUGAUACUGAUAGUCUCGAGUCCGGAAGAGGUGAGUGGAAUUCCGAGUGUAGAGGUGAAAUUCGUAGAUAUUCGGAGGAACACCAGUGGCGAAGGCGGCUCACUGGUCCGGUACUGACGCUGAGGUGCGAAAGCGUGGGGAGCAAACAGG
rnacentral:rRNA from 1 species